rnacentral:rRNA from 1 species
UGGGGAAUUUGGGACAAUGGGGGAAACCCUGAUCCAGCCAUCCCGCGUGUGCGAUGAAGGCCUUCGGGUUGUAAAGCACUUUUGGCAGGAAAGAAACGUCGCGGGUUAAUACCCCGCGAAACUGACGGUACCUGCAGAAUAAGCACCGGCUAACUACGUGCCAGCAGCCGCGGUAAUACGUAGGGUGCAAGCGUUAAUCGGAAUUACUGGGCGUAAAGCGUGCGCAGGCGGUUCGGAAAGAAAGAUGUGAAAUCCCAGAGCUUAACUUUGGAACUGCAUUUUUAACUACCGGGCUAGAGUGUGUCAGAGGGAGGUGGAAUUCCGCGUGUAGCAGUGAAAUGCGUAGAUAUGCGGAGGAACACCGAUGGCGAAGGCAGCCUCCUGGGAUAACACUGACGCUCAUGCACGAAAGCGUGGGGAGCAAACAGGAUUAGAUACCCUGGUAGUCCACGCCCUAAACGAUGUCAACUAGCUGUUGGGGCCUUCGGGCCUUGGUAGCGCAGCUAACGCGUGAAGUUGACCGCCUGGGGAGUACGGUCGCAAGAUUAGACUCAAAGGAAUUGACGGGGUCAUAGCUGUUUCCU